rnacentral:lncRNA from 1 species
CGCGCCCCAGUGUCUGGACUGCGCUCGCCGAGCUCCUCCUCACGUGCUCCUCCACCGGUCCGUGCCCCUGCACUUGCAGCAGCGGCCGUGGAUCCCCUCUGCGUCACGCCCUCGGCGUGCUCGAUGUAAUGCCAAAGCAGCAGCAGUGACGACCUUCGUUGUGUCACGCUCGCCAAGUCGGGCCUCACAUCGUCGAUCUGCGCAGCGUCUGCGCAUCAUCGUCGAAACACGCGGUGAGCUUCUCGCUGUCCCAUGUUCCUGGAUUUUAUAAAAUGACUAAACAAAUAAAUUGUGUAAUGAUUGUGUAUGUCGUCUAAUCGCAGCCCUUGUCGACGUCACGCCUCGCGCAUCGCUCGUCGGCAAAGAGCCCAAACUAAUGGCAUGCAUGCGCGACACGAGUCGGCCAGGUUGUUCGCCUUGAAUGAUUCACGAUUUGUUUUAUUUACGUAUUCGGUCGAUGAUGUGC